CAGUAGCCGCGGUAAUACGUAGGUGGCAAGCGUUGUCCGGAAUUAUUGGGCGUAAAGGGCUCGCAGGCGGUUUCUUAAGUCUGAUGUGAAAGCCCCCGGCUCAACCGGGGAGGGUCAUUGGAAACUGGGAAACUUGAGUGCAGAAGAGGAGAGUGGAAUUCCACGUGUAGCGGUGAAAUGCGUAGAGAUGUGGAGGAACACCAGUGGCGAAGGCGACUCUCUGGUCCGUAACUGACGCUGAGGAGCGAAAGCGUGGGGAGCGAACAGGAUUAGAUACCCCCGUAGUCCCUGUCUCUUAUAC
rnacentral:rRNA from 1 species